CCCCUGAGGAAGGGUGUCGCUGAGGGAGGCCCUAUGCCCAAAGAAUUCCACAGUGAAGUCAGUCUCCAGCUGCUGUCUUACCAGAGAAAUAAAAGACAUCUUCCCCCUGGAGUUCCUCAGUUGUUAGCCUACAAUAAGGGAUUUCCUGCCUUUGCCAAGACCAGCCUGAGCUUUUCUGAAAGCACUGAGCCACAGCUGGAACUUGCCUGGUCUACAUGGUGCAAAGUCCUUGGGUUUUGGACAAAGGAAGCUCUGCACAUUAUCAGAGCAGCUGAUACAGUCUCUGGUAUUUAUUUAUGACAAAGAAAAGGAGCAGUCUUAUGAACGGCUGAAGGAUAACAGCUGCAGCUCAGCUAAUCCACCUCAUACCAACACUGCAACCUCAGUGACAGAGCGUGGCCUGGGAUCUCUCUCAGCAAAGACCUUGCAGA